rnacentral:rRNA from 1 species
UACGGAGGGUGCGAGCGUUGUCCGGAAUCACUGGGCGUAAAGGGCGCGUAGGUGGCGCGAGGAGUCUGUGGUGAAAGCCCGAGGCUCAACUUCGGGUCGGCCGCGGAUACUCUCGUGCUGGAGGGUGGUAGAGGCCAAUGGAAUUCCGGGUGUAGCGGUGGAAUGCGCAGAUAUCAGGAGGAACACCGGUGGCGAAGGCGGGUCUCUGGACGGAUACUGACGCUGAGACGCGAAAGCGUGGGUAGCAAACAGG